rfam:Brachypodium distachyon strain Bd21 chromosome 5, whole genome shotgun sequence.
UUUAUACUCCCUCUGUCCAACAAAUGAUGUCUCAAGUUUGUCAAAAUUUGGAUGUAUCUAGACAUGACUUAGUGUAUAGAUGCAUUCAAAUUUAAUCAAAGUUGAGACAUCCUUUGUUGGACGGAGAACGGAGGAAGUA